rnacentral:siRNA from 1 species
GAUAGCGGAAUCUACGAACUUGAA